rnacentral:rRNA from 1 species
UACAGAGGUCUCAAGCGUUGUUCGGAUUCAUUGGGCGUAAAGGGUGCGUAGGCGGCGUGGUAAGUCGGGUGUGAAAUCUCGGAGCUUAACUCCGAAACUGCAUUCGAUACUGCCGGUGCUUGAGGACUGGAGAGGAGACUGGAAUUCAUGGUGUAGCGGUGAAAUGCGUAGAGAUCGUAGGAAGACCAGUGGCGAAGGCGGGCUUC